GACGAGGGGUCCUAGCGUUGCUCGGAAUCAUUGGGCGUAAAGCGGGUGUAGGUGGCCAAUUAAGUCAGGAGUGAAAGCCCCGAGCUCAACUCGGGAAGUGCUUUUGAAACUGGUUGGCUUGAGUGUGGAAGAGGAUAGUGGAAUUCCUGGUGUAGUGGUGAAAUACGUAGAUAUCAGGAGGAACUCCAGUGGGGAAGCCGGCUAUCUGGUCCAACACUGACACUCAGACCCGAAAGCGUGGGGAUCAAAC
rnacentral:rRNA from 1 species